AACGAACGCUGGCGGCAGGCCUAACACAUGCAAGUCGAACGAAGUCUUCGGACUUAGUGGCGCACGGGUGAGUAACACGUGGGAAUAUACCUUACGCUGGGGGAUAACAUCGGGAAACUGAUGCUAAUACCGCAUACGCCCUUCGGGGGAAAGAUUUAUCGGCGAAAGAUUAGCCCGCGUCCGAUUAGCUAGUUGGUGAGGUAGUGGCUCACCAAGGCUCCGAUCGGUAGCUGGUGUGAGAGGAUGACCAGCCACACUGGGACUGAGACACGGCCCAGACUCCUACGGGAGGCAGCAGUGGGGAAUAUUGGACAAUGGGCGCAAGCCUGAUCCAGCCAUGCCGCGUGAGUGAUGAAGGCCUUAGGGUUGUAAAGCUCUUUCACCCACGACGAUGAUGACGGUAGUGGGAGAAGAAGCCCCGGCUAACUUCGUG
rnacentral:rRNA from 1 species